CGCGCAGGCGGUCGUAUAAGUCGAAUGUGAAAGCCCCCGGCUCAACUGGGGAGAGUCAUUCGAUACUGUUCGACUCGAAGGCAGGAGAGGGAAGUGGAAUUCCGGGUGUAGUGGUGAAAUGCGUAGAUAUCCGGAGGAACACCAGUGGCGAAGGCGACUUUCUGGCCUGUUCUUGACGCUGAGGCGCGAAAGCUAGGGAGCAAACG
rnacentral:rRNA from 1 species